UUCAGUGCCAGGUCCGUUGAGGCCACGGGAGUUCAGUGGGGCGACAGCGGCUCCCGCGGCUCGCGUCCCCCGGCUGGCUCGGCUCGGCUCGCGCUGCGCCCGCCCUCUCGGUGCCCUGCGCCGCCUCUGCAGCUGCACAUCCUCCGGC
rnacentral:lncRNA from 1 species